AGCAUGUGGUUUAAUUCGAUGCAACGCGAAGAACCUUACCUGGUCUUGACAUCCACAGAACUUUCCAGAGAUGGAUUGGUGCCUUCGGGAACUGUGAGACAGGUGCUGCAUGGCUGUCGUCAGCUCGUGUUGUGAAAUGUUGGGUUAAGUCCCGCAACGAGCGCAACCCUUAUCCUUUGUUGCCAGCGGUCCGGCCGGGAACUCAAAGGAGACUGCCAGUGAUAAACUGGAGGAAGGUGGGGAUGACGUCAAGUCAUCAUGGCCCUUACGACCAGGGCUACACACGUGCUACAAUGGCAUAUACAAAGAGAAGCGACCUCGCGAGAGCAAGCGGACCUCAUAAAGUAUGUCGUAGUCCGGAUUGGAGUCUGCAACUCGACUCCAUGAAGUCGGAAUCGCUAGUAAUCGUAGAUCAGAAUGCUACGGUGAAUACGUUCCCGGGCCUUGUACACACCGCCCGUCACACCAUGGGAGUGGGUUGCAAAAGAAGUAGGUAGCUUAACCUUCGGGAGGGCGCUUACCACUUUGUGAUUCAUGACUGGGGUGAAGUCGUAACAAGGUAACCGUAGGGGAACCUGCGGUUGGAUCACCUCCUUACCUUAAAGAA
rnacentral:rRNA from 1 species